rnacentral:rRNA from 1 species
UACGUAGGGGGCAAGCGUUGUCCGGAAUCAUUGGGCGUAAAGCGCGCGUAGGCGGCCCGGUAAGUCCGUUGUGAAAUCGCUCGGCUCAACUGGGCGGGGUCAGCGGAUACGGCCGCACUCGAGCAAGCUAGGGGGCAAUGGAAUUCCCGGUGUAGUGGUGGAAUGCGUAGAUAUCGGGAGGAACACCAGUGGCGAAGGCGGUUGCCUGGAGCUUUGCUGACGCUGAGGCGCGAAAGCGUGGGGAGCGAUCCGG